rnacentral:rRNA from 1 species
CAGCCGCCGCGGGAACACGUAGGUGGCAAGCGUUGUCCGGAUUUAUUGGGCGUAAAGCGAGCGCAGGCGGUUUCUUAAGUCUGAUGUGAAAGCCCCCGGCUCAACCGGGGAGGGUCAUUGGAAACUGGGAAACUUGAGUGCAGAAGAGGAGAGUGGAAUUCCAUGUGUAGCGGUGAAAUGCGUAGAUAUAUGGAGGAACACCAGUGGCGAAGGCGGCUCUCUGGUCUGUAACUGACGCUGAGGCUCGAAAGCGUGGGGAGCAAACAGGAUUAGAUACCCCCGUAGUCCCUGUCUCUUAUAC